GAUGAACGCUGGCGGCGUGCCUAACACAUGCAAGUCGAGCGAACGGACGAGAAGCUUGCUUUUCUGAUGUUAGCGGCGGACGGGUGAGUAACAAGUGGAUAACCUCCCUAUAAUACUGGGCUAACUUCGGGACACCGGAGCUAAUACCGGAUAAUAUUUUGAACCGCAUGGUUCAAAAGUGAAAGACGUUCUUGCUGUCACUUAUAGAUGGAUCCGCGCUGCAUUAGCUAGUUGGUAAGGUAACGGCUUACCAAGGCAACGAUGCAUAGCCGACCUGAGAGGGUGAUCGGCCACACUGGAACUGAGACACGGUCCAGACUCCUACGGGAGGCAGCAGAAGGGAAUCUUCCGCAGUGGGCGAAAGCCUGACGGAGCAACGCCGCGUGAGUGAUGAAGGUCUUCGGAGCGUAAAACUCUGUUAUUAGGGAAGAACAUAUGUGUAAGUAACUGUGCACAACGUGACGGUACCUGAUCAGAAAGCCACGGCUAACUACGUG
rnacentral:rRNA from 1 species